rfam:Beta vulgaris subsp. vulgaris Bvchr1.sca006.con0264.1, whole genome shotgun sequence.
AGCCUGUUAGCUUAAUUGGUAGAGUAUUGUGUUUGCAAAUUAAAUACAUAAAAAUGUAGGUUUGAAUCCCGCAUAGGCUC